rnacentral:rRNA from 1 species
ACUCAAAUGAAUUGACGGGGGCUUGCACAAGCGGUGGAGCGUGUGGCUUAAUUCGUCGCUAAGCGAAGAACCUUACCAAGACUAGAAAUUCUACUGCACGCCUAGCGAAAGCUAGGAAGCCUUCGAGGGUGUAGAACAGGUGAUGCAUGGCUGUCGUCAGUUCGUGGUUUGAACCGUUCCCUUCAGUGGGGUAACGAACGCAACCCUCGUUGCCUGUUAUAAGUAUCAGGCGAGACUGCCCCCUCACGGGGGAGGAAGGUGAGGAUGACGCCAAGUCAGCAUGUCCCUCUGAUGUCUUGGGCUGCACACGCGCUACAAUGGGUACUACAGCGGGGCGCGACGGGGUAACCCUGAGCAAAUCCUUCAAAAGUAUCCUCAGUUCGGAUUGAGGUCUGCAACCCGACCUCAUGAAGCUGGAAUCGCUAGUAAUCGCGGGUCAGCCACACCGCGGUGAAUACGUUCUCAAGCCUUGUACACACCGCCCGU